UCUGUCCCCUGGGAUGGUCACCUUCAGUGAAAGAAGGAGAGGGAGAAGGAGUCGGGGAGGAUGAUAAUAUAAUGUCUUGCUUUGGCAAGAAAAAUUCCUUCCUGCGAACGCUGGAGGUAGAAAAUUCUCCCUGUGUAAGAGGCAUGGUUAUAUAACAUUCCUGAAACAGAUGAACCAUGAAUUCCAAUGAAAGCUUCAUUCCUUCAGAAUGCCAUAAGUACUAGAAGUUAAUUUAUGGACUCGCCUGAAGUGCAGAUGCUCAAUCUGAGUCCUCUGACAGCCUCGCUAUGUUAAAAGCGAGUUGGAUCCCAGCGCUCUCGAAGUUGGAGAGGCAACAGAGAACCACCUUCCCUGAUUGUCUGAUCAAGAUUCCACUUGAGUGAAGACACCAGCUUACUGGGUAUCGUGUCUAAUGAGUAAAUUUGCAAGCCUCCUACUUUAAAUGAGUUGUGUGCAUUUAUUUUCUACAAACGAAGAAAUCUGGUAAAAGCUUGUCUAAUUUAGCCUCAUCUUUUACACAUUUUUAGACAAAAUAGGGGAAAAUGACUUUUAAAAACGGUUAAUGGAUUCUUUUUUUUUUUUCUUUUCUGUUUUUGGCAAGGAGGUGAGUAGAAUAGUUCAGGGAGUUCUUCUUGAGGUUUUUCCGCUCAUUACCAAUUAUUUAACAAAGAUACUCCAAUCUGCAUUUUAUAUCUUUAUGUUAUUGACAUCAUAUUCCUAGGAGCUGUCUAGCUGUUGGAGACUGGCUUUUAUCUUUUCCGAGUACUUGCAGUCUAAAAUGGACAAUGACAGCAGUCCCAGCCUUACUGAAGCUCGUCAAACUGUCUCAUUCAAAGUGAUGACUGAGUUGGAUUAAACCCAAGGACUCAGCUACCGGUAUUAACCCAUCAGAUGGUGCAGCCCCUCAGCCGCUUUAAUCAUUAGGGUGGGAUUAAUACGCAUGCUCUGCCACCUCCUUGAUGCCUAGGAAAUCACGCCAGGAGAAUGUGGACGCUUCAGCGGGCUGAGCUUUAAUCACACCAGGCAAAACAUGACAGUUUGGAAAUUAACUCAGGAGGAUAAACUUGGAAAGGAGAUUAAAAUAGCCUGGGUGUUUAUCAACAGAUUGUACAAUAUUAGCCAAGCAGAUUUCCCAAACGCCUCGUGAGCACCCCUGUGAUUGGUGCCCUCUAUGUUCUUUGUUUGAAAAUAAACAAUGAAGAGUUUACACACGCACAUCAAAAGUAAGGCAGGAUGAAAUAUGCAACCUUAUCAGUCUUGGAGGUAUUCUGAGUCCAUCUCUACGUGCUUUGGUCCAAAUGCAAGGUUUUGAUCCAGCUUUUUCUGCAGUAUCGGAUGGAAGUUUCAGGAGGAAGGUUGAAACUUGUAAGAUGCAGAAGGCAUAAAUUUGAUUCUAAUUCAAAAUGCACUUAUGGGACUCAAAGAUGCAGACAAAAUAGGAUUUCGUUUUCUCUUUUUCUUUUUUUUUUUUUUCUUUUGAAGACAAGUUUUAGAUCGAGGUCAAGGAGCUGCAUGGCAAACAUGCUUCUAUUUCUUGGCCCUCCCCAAACUCAAGAAAAAAAAACUGACAUAUAUAAGCUUUUUUUUUUUAAAAGCAAUCAAAUUGAAAAAGACAAAGAGAACAAGAAAGAUGACAACAGUGGAUGAAAGACUGUGGUAAAGGUUUGGAAGAACAAAAGCAGAUACAGCAGAGGUCAACAGUCGCUUGGAAAAGAGAAUAGCAAAAAAAAGCAGGGCCAUUUAGCCUGCUGAGAAUGUGAGGCUUCAGCCAGGGGCUCGCGAUGAGGGGACUGGCUGGAAAUCUGCGUGUGCACUUGGCACCCUGGAACCUCCAUCCUGCUCCACAGAGCCAGGUCCCCACCAGCCCCCAGCAAUCUAAUUGUGGUAGAAAAAGACCCUGGAAGGCUCAAAAUUCAGGGGCACCAAGCACAGUGAGGGUGGAGUGGAGUGGAGGGUGGGGUAUGGGUCAAAACGAGAAACAAAAAUGAAAAUCUAUGCUGGUUGGUGAGAAGCUGGUGCCAUUCUCCAGUGCAAUGUCCCCUGGGCAGAAUUUUUCUCUCGACAAAUUCUUCUCUCUUAGACAAAGAUCUUUGAGAACUGGCAAGUGUGGGAGAGGGUGGCGCCUUCAUGCACAGCUAGUCUGCUGCCUGGUGACCCUGCAGAGGUGGACAAACUCUACUAAGGCACAGAAGGCUCUUCGUACCCUUUUAGUCUCAUAUUUUGAUAUGAAUGGAAAACCAGGGGUCAUCAAACAAUUGUGAAAAGGCUCCGACCUGACAGAGAGAGACUAAAUCAAAUAAAUAAGUAUAUGCACAAAGCACAGGGAACUGCUGAAGGAAGCCAAACGGUACAAGAAGCCAAAGAAAAUUACAAAAAUAAACAAACAUCCCCAGAGAGAUAAGAGAAAGUAUUGCUCCAAUGAAACAUAAACAAACUACUAAAAAGAGAGGCCAAUCAGAGAAGUAACAGUUCUUAAAAGUUAAAAAUAGUCAGGAAAAAAAAAUGUUUGAUAAGAGAGUUAGAAGAAAUUUUCCAGAAAUUAGAGCAAAAGGUAGAAAAUAAAAUAGAAAUGAUAAAAUUAUACCCAUCCAAGAAAUCCAAUAAUAGCUCCAGAGAAAGAAAAAACAAAUUCUGAGGAAGAAAUUAUCGAAAAACUAAUACAAAAUUUCCCAGAACUGAAAGACAUGAGUCUUUAAAUUGUACGGUCACAGCACAAUGACUAAAAUGCCUUGCAUCAAGACACAUCUUAUGAAAUUUUAUAAAACUAAGGAUAAGAAGUUAAAAAAAAAAAAAAGGCCGAUCACAUAUCAAAUGUUAAGAAUAAAAAUGAUUUCUCAGCAGCAACACUGGAAACUGGCAUCUGAAAGACAGCGGAAAAAUAUCUUUGAAAUUCAUGGAAAUAUUUUUUUUCAAUGUAAGUUUCUACAGCCAGUUUUCUCCUCUGUAAAAUUGUUACCAUGAUAAAAUGAGUUAACAUUUGUAACCUACCUAGAACAGCACCUGGCACCUCAAGAUGCUCAUUGCGUUUGUUAAGUACUUAAAUAAAUGGGGUUGUCUAGGAGUGAAA